rnacentral:rRNA from 1 species
GACGAACGCUGGCGGCGUGCUUAACACAUGCAAGUCGAGCGGUAAGGCCCUUUCGGGGUACGACGAGCGGCGAACGGGUGAGUAACACGUGGGUGACCUGCCCUCAGCUCUGGGAGUAAGCCUGGGAAACCGGGUACUAAUACCGGAUAUGACUCCAUGACGCAUGUUGUGGGGUGGAAAGCCUUGUGCGGCUGAGGAUGGGCCCGCGGCCUAUCAGCUUGUUGGUGGGGUGAUGGCCUACCAAGGCGACGACGGGUAGCCGGCCUGA